AGUGAACGCUGGCGGUAGGCCUAACACAUGCAAGUCGAACGGCAGCACAGUAAGAGCUUGCUCUUACGGGUGGCGAGUGGCGGACGGGUGAGGAAUACAUCGGAAUCUACUUUUUCGUGGGGGAUAACGUAGGGAAACUUACGCUAAUACCGCAUACGACCUACGGGUGAAAGCAGGGGAUCGUCGGACCUUGCGCGAUUGAAUGAGCCGAUGUCGGAUUAGCUAGUUGGCGGGGUAAUGGCCCAACAAGGCGACGAUCCGUGGCUGGUCUGAGAGGCUGAUCAGCCACACUGGAUCUGAGACACGGUCCAGACUCCUACGGGAGGCAGCAGUGGGGAAUAUUGGACAAUGGGCGCAAGCCUGAUCCAGCCAUACCGCGUGAGUGAAGAAAGCCUUCGGGUUGUGAAGCCCUUUUGUUGGGAAAGAAAAGCAGCAGGUUAAUACCCCGCUGUUCUGACGGUACCCAAAGAAUAAGCACCGGCUAACUUCGUG
rnacentral:rRNA from 1 species